rnacentral:rRNA from 1 species
CCCUUAGAUGUUCUGGGCCGCACGCGCGCUACACUGUUCGACGCAGCGAGUCUUAACCUUGACCGAAAGGUUUGGGUAAUCUUCAGCAAAGUCGAACGUGAUGGGGAUCGAUCAUUGCAAUUAUUGAUCGUGAACGAGGAAUUCCUAGUAAGUGCAAGUCAUCAGCUUGCGCUGAUUACGUCCCUGCCCUUUGUACACACCGCCCGUCACUACUACCGAUUGAAUGGUUUAGUGAGAUCUCUGGAUUGACGCUGGCUAGGGGGCGACCCUUGGCCAGGCUGUCGAGAAACUGCUCAAACUUGAUCAUUUAGAGGAAGUAAAAGUCGUAACA